GAUGAACGCCGGCGGCGUGCCUAAUACAUGCAAGUCGAGCGAACGGACGAGAAGCUUGCUUUUCUGAUGUUAGCGGCGGACGGGUGAGUAACACGUGGAUAACCUACCUAUAAGACUGGGAUAACUUCGGGAAACCGGAGCUAAUACCGGAUAAUAUUUUGAACCGCAUGGUUCAAAAGUGGAAGACGGUCUUGCUGUCACUUAUAGAUGGAUCCGCACUGCAUUAGCUAGUUGGUAAGGUAACGGCUUACCAAGGCAACGAUGCAUAGCCGACCUGAGAGGGUGAUCGGCCACACUGGAACUGAGACACGGUCCAGACUCCUACGGGAGGCAGCAGUAGGGAAUCUUCCGCAAUGGGCGAAAGCCUGACGGAGCAACGCCGCGUGAGUGAUGAAGGUCUUCGGAUCGUAAAACUCUGUUAUUAGGGAAGAACAUAUGUGUAAGUAACUGUGCACAUCUUGACGGUACCUAAUCAGAAAGCCACGGCUAACUACGUG
rnacentral:rRNA from 1 species